CAAUACAAAUUGAUAUUAAUGGACGUUUUGACAGCUGUUUCCCGUCCAAGUUCCAGUUUUAAUGGAAAAUCUUUAAAGGACACAGAAAAAUGUAAUUUACUGGAUUGACUUCAACACCUGUUGCCUUUUAAUAAUGGUAUGAACUGCUGUUACUUAAUAGCUGUUAGAGCGGAUCCAGUUCUUUAUCAAUGGUAUAAGAUGGGACAAUAGCUAUUAAAAAUCCACAAGCCGUACUAUCUGCAAAUAUUAUGGUGGACAUCAAAAAGCUUUAAAUGCAAUGAAACUUGCAGGAAAAGACUCAGAAAGACUAUUUAGGACUGUACUUAAUAGCUGUUAGUAUGGUCGCAGUCCUUCAUCACUGAUAUCUCCGCAUUUUCUUAACUAUGGAUAUCAACAGUUGCUCCUACUCCUUGCUUUCCUCUUUCACUCAACAUGAAGCAGACUCAAUACUCCUCAAUGUCUC